AUACGUAGGGAGCGAGCGUUGUCCGGAAUUACUGGGCGUAAAGGGCGCGUAGGCGGCGCUUCAAGUCGUCUGUCAAAUGGGAGGGCUUAACCCUUUUUCGCAGACGAGACUGGAGAGCUUGAGAAGCAGAGAGGCAAACAGAAUUCCUGGUGUAGCGGUGAAAUGCGUAGAUAUCAGGAAGAAUACCAGUGGCGAAGGCGGUUUGCUGGCUGCAUACUGACGCUGAAGCGCGAAAGCCAGGGGAGCAAACGGGAUUAGAUACCCCGGUAGUCCUGGCAGUAAACGAUGUAUGCUGGGUGUGAGACUAGCGAUAGUUUCGUGCCGAAGUUAACGCGAUAAGCAUACCGCCUGGGGAGUACGGUCGCAAGAUUGAAACUCAAAUGAAUUGACGGGG
rnacentral:rRNA from 1 species